CCCAUCCUUGACUGCUGCUUCUUGAACAGUUAUAUCUUCUUUGCUUCUUGCUUCUCUAUUUGAAGCAUUUUUUUAAUAUAUUAAUAGGGAAAAGCAACAAUCAAAACAAAAAAAUUUAAAGGCUGUCUCCUAUCUAAAAAUCCUAGCUGUUUGAUGUGAGAAAGCUUGAACAUACAAAAUACUUUUGUUCCUGUAGAAUUUGCUUUCAAAAACUGCAUCCUUAAUACUGAAAUGAAGAAAGGUAGAAUGCUCUGCAAAGUGCAGUAUUGAAAAAGGAAGAUGUGUACCCACUUGGAAAAUGCUGAGCUGCUUGGGAAGUUAUAGACAGUGCAUGUUUAUGGACCUGUUUUUUUAAGCAAUCUCCAGAGCUUGAACGGAUUACAGUGAUAUUUUAACAAGGCUGCUGGCAUCCAUCACCAGCUUUCAGUUACUGAGAAGGCUGAAAGAUGGAAGAAUGUAAUUAUUUCCGAGUAAGCUAAAUGCUAGUGGCUGAUUGUCACAAGAACUUCGGUGCUUUAAACUUCUUAAUCUCCUGCCAGGCAGACAGUCCCUCUGAUGACACCACGAAUCUGGGAAUGAAGAACUUCUUCGUGCUGAUUGGAAAUGGCAUUGCGGAGCUGAAACUUAACUGGAGGAAAUAUAUCUCCUGAAGAAGAAAAUAUAAUGCACUUUAAGGAUCUGGCUUCUGGUGAAAAAUUCAAGCCUAGAGAAAACUUGUCCGCUUUGUUAGGAAGAAUGGGUUGGACAAUUUUCCUCAAUUCCACAGGAUAUCUGAGUGCCAUGCUGAGCUUAAUCUCUGCAGCAUGCUCUGUGCUUCUCAUCUCUUCCUGAUGCACUGCAUGGUCAGCUCUUUAAUUGCAAGCUCCCUCAAGGGCCAUCUUCAGCACUACACAUUGUAUAUCCUUAUAUUGCUGAUACUGAACAGCAGUUCCUACCAGCUCUAUGGUAGAUAUUAUCCUGAAGGGGAGGAUAAAGAAACUGACCACCAAGAUGGUAAUCACUAGUGGAAAUGAAGAAGAUAAAGGCAGUCAAGAAAAGGAAAGCAAAGAAGAAACCAUCUUGGCAAUGCUUGGAAUUAUUGGGACAAUUCUGAACCUCAUUGUGAUCAUUUUUGUGUACAUUUACACAACGUUGUAAACUAGCAGGCAUGCAAAUAGAACAGAUAAAACGGCCAUUAAGAGUGACGACAAACAUUGCUGACUAUUGACAAGUUGUUUAAUCAGAAUUGACUCUGUAUUAUAUUAACACAUCAUAAAAGCACUGCCUGCAGGCAGUGAAGGCUGAAGCACAAUUAAUUUAACAAGACUUCUUCACACAGUAACAAGCUAAACUCUUCUGUCCUGCCCUCUUCCUUUCGCUUUGGUUUUCAGUUUGGGGGAAAAAUGACUGCAAUUAUGUAAGUUGUAGGUUUGAAGAAAUCCACCAGGGUUAUGUUGUUUUAA